GGCACUGCCCGGUAGCUAAAUGCGGAAGAGAUAAGUGCUGAAAGCAUCUAAGCACGAAACUUGCCCCGAGAUGAGUUCUCCCUGACCCUUUAAGGGUCCUGAAGGAACGUUGAAGACGACGACGUUGAUAGGCCGGGUGUGUAAGCGCAGCGAUGCGUUGAGCUAACCGGUACUAAUGAACCGUGAGGCUUAACCUUAC
rnacentral:rRNA from 1 species